rnacentral:rRNA from 1 species
UGCAGUCGAGCGGAUGAAGGGAGCUUGCUCCUGGAUUCAGCGGCGGACGGGUGAGUAAUGCCUAGGAAUCUGCCUGGUAGUGGGGGAUAACGUCCGGAAACGGGCGCUAAUACCGCAUACGUCCUGAGGGAGAAAGUGGGGGAUCUUCGGACCUCACGCUAUCAGAUGAGCCUAGGUCGGAUUAGCUAGUUGGUGGGGUAAAGGCCUACCAAGGCGACGAUCCGUAACUGGUCUGAGAGGAUGAUCAGUCACACUGGAACUGAGACACGGUCCAGACUCCUACGGGAGGCAGCAGUGGGGAAUAUUGGACAAUGGGCGAAAGCCUGAUCCAGCCAUGCCGCGUGUGUGAAGAAGGUCUUCGGAUUGUAAAGCACUUUAAGUUGGGAGGAAGGGCAGUAAGUUAAUACCUUGCUGUUUUGACGUUACCAACAGAAUAAGCACCGGCUAACUUCGUGCCAGCAGCCGCGGUAAUACGAAGGGUGCAAGCGUUAAUCGGAAUUACUGGGCGUAAAGCGCGCGUAGGUGGUUCAGCAAGUUGGAUGUGAAAUCCCCGGGCUCAACCUGGGAACUGCAUCCAAAACUACUGAGCUAGAGUACGGUAGAGGGUGGUGGAAUUUCCUGUGUAGCGGUGAAAUGCGUAGAUAUAGGAAGGAACACCAGUGGCGAAGGCGACCACCUGGACUGAUACUGACACUGAGGUGCGAAAGCGUGGGGAGCAAACAGGAUUAGAUACCCUGGUAGUCCACGCCGUAAACGAUGUCGACUAGCCGUUGGGAUCCUUGAGAUCUUAGUGGCGCAGCUAACGCGAUAAGUCGACCGCCUGGGGAGUACGGCCGCAAGGUAAAACUCAAAUGAAUUGACGGGGGCCCGCACAAGCGGUGGAGCAUGUGGUUAAUUCGAAGCAACGCGAAGACCUUACCUGGCCUUGACUGCUGAGACUUUCCAGAGAUGGAUUGGGGCUUCGGGACUCAGACCAGG